rnacentral:rRNA from 1 species
UACGGGGGGGGCAAGCGUUGUUCGGAAUUACUGGGCGUAAAGGGUGCGUAGGCGGCUUUCUAAGUCGGAUGUGAAAACUCUGGGCUCAACCCAGAGCCUGCAUCCGAAACUGGAGGGCUUGGGUUCUGGAGGGGAAAGCGGAAUUCCUGGUGUAGCGGUGAAAUGCUUAGAUAUCAGGAGGAACACCGGUGGCGAAGGCGGCUUUCUGGACAGAUACCGACGCUGAGGCACGAAAGCUAGGGGAGCAAACAGG